GUUGAUUUAGCAUAAUAUAAUGUUUUUGUUUUAAGCGCAAAGGAUACAAAGUCAACU
rnacentral:tRNA from 1 species